rnacentral:tRNA from 1 species
UCUACUUUGGCAGAUAAGUGCAAUGAAUUUAGAUUUCGUAUAUGUAAAUAAUUUUUACAGGUAGGA